AAAAUGGGUAGGUGUAGAAAAGACAGAAGACACAAUAGGGGACUCCUUGUUUUGGUCAACGACCAAAGAGAACAGCAAUACGACAGCGAAAAGCAGCAGAGCACGCCAUUCUUCCAAGGGCUUCAAGUCUUCACUGCUCAUGGAAGCUUAAGCGGCUAAUUCUUCGAUGUAGAAGUCAGGCUCCACCAGUUGAAGUAUUUCAGUCUGUUUUGAGCUAGAGAAUAAUUAUAGAUUUCCUUAUCCAAGAACCACUAUUCUUGCUGUGCUGGUCAUCUUCACUUCAAGAGAUGAAAGAGGCAGUAUAUCCAAGAAGUGAGAUGUGGAAGAAAAUGGAGUUCAUGGUGGAAAUGAUAAAGCUUGGGAAUUGGGAAUUUUGAAAUGAAGGAAUUACGUAGGUGCUUAAACAGCUUACCAUGGAGAGUCAGCAAUACCACCUGUCCAAUUAAACCCUUCAGAUGUUGAAAGAGGCAGUAUAUCUGUUCCAAGCUCAGAGAUUUACCUCUCUGCUCGAAGUUUGAACCACAUUUAAGGGCAAUUUCACAGAUUUGUUUUUUGCCUUUUUAGCUUUUCAGCAUGGUUGUUUGUGAGUUCUCAAUUAAAUAUAGGGUUUUAUCUCUGACAAGAAGGAUUUUGCUAUUAAAUGGGACUAAACUAAAAUGCUGUUCGUAGCCACCUAGAUUAGCAGAUUGUUUCAAACUAAAGAGGUUGUCAGAAUGUCAAAUUUCACGGUGACUUUUAAGUUU